CUUAGUGGUACGUCGUUUGGCCUAUCUCGAUAAACUUUGACUUCAAAUCACGUCGGACUCCUAUUUUGUAGCGGAUUCACAAUAUUUUUUCCUUUAUAUAAUCUGGCUAUUUUUUACUCUUUUUAUAGUUCUAUGUGAGAAAUCGCUUUACAAGUCGAAGAAAAUAUUGCUAUGUUGAACCUGGCCCGAAGAGAUCCAGCUAAUCAUUCUGUGUUGAUUUCAUAUUGAAUCCUUUCACCGCGUUCACCGCCA
rnacentral:lncRNA from 1 species